CUGAAAAUUACGCCGAAUCCCCGCCACGGGGAGCCGGGGAACCAACCAGCUUUUUCUGGGGUACAUCCUCCGCGAGAGCGUCACGCACACAGGUGCACGACGUGGAGCGGGCGAGGGAAGCUUCCGUACAUCCCAACCCGACAGCUAACCCGGUAGGCACACUGGAAGAUUUG
rnacentral:sRNA from 2 species